GUGACCUGCGGAGGAC
rnacentral:rRNA from 1 species